rnacentral:rRNA from 1 species
UACGGAGGGGGCUAGCGUUGUUCGGAAUUACUGGGCGUAAAGCGCGCGUAGGCGGACCUGCAAGUCGGGGGUGAAAGCCCGAGGCUCAACCUCGGAACUGCCUUCGAUACUGCGGUCUCGAGUCCGGGAGAGGUGAGUGGAAUUCCUAGUGUAGAGGUGAAAUUCGUAGAUAUUAGGAAGAACACCAGUGGGCGAAGGCGGCUCAC